CACAAGCUGGUGUUUGACAAGAAAUUCUGGUUUAAACUGUAUGAAGCUGCUUCUGGUGCUGAAGGCCCAGAAGGAGGGAAUUGUCAUGUCCCAGCAGAAGACAGGAGCUGUUGAAGCUCACAUUGCCCUAUGUGAUUCUGCUUUCCUUGAAAGACCAAAGGCGGGAACCACAGUCUGAGGCUUUGCCCUACUAUCUCUCUACUUGUGAGCAGUAUAGAGUCAGUCAAGCCUGAAAAUCAUGAGGAUCUAGGCUGCAUUCAUGGCGCUGCUCCUCCAGCUUUUCCUCUGUGUCUCGGUCUUCUGCUCUGCCAUCAAGACACUUCUGAAGAACCAGAAACCUGUCAAGUACUACUCUCUGUCAAAAAGCAAAAAGAAAAUACGCAUUUUGAUCUGGAAAUUCAUCUCAGACCAGGAAGGCAGACAGCAGCAUGUCUUCACAUCUAUUGGUUCAUGGGACUGAUAUGCCCUGACUUGUCUGUAUUGAUAAGGAAAUCAGUGGGAUAUAAAAAUACCAGAACUUUGGAAAUUAUGGCAGUCAGACAGCAUGGUGUCUGGCUGCGAUAGAACAUCUGCAUCUCAAAGUUAUGUCGACCACUCAGACUCCAGAAGCUCUUCUCCCUCAGAGGAAAAGCUUCUUGGUGGGUCCCUGUCUGGCAUGUUGGAAAUGACAUUCGAGGUGGGAAGAGAAAGAGUCUGAAGAGCAGAGAGCAGUGGGCAGCUCUGAACCACAGCCCAGAGCAGGCCUUACAGUCCUGUCAAGUGCAGGAGGGAUGUUUUCUAUCCAACAAACUGAAACAAAAACAUUUUGACUCUCUGGUGUUUCAAUGUUCUCUGUUUAUUUUUUUAUAAAUUACAUAUUUUAAUAUUUCUUUCUAAUAGAAAACUAAGCAUGGUUCCUCACUCUGUAUUUCUUGGUGUUUUAUGGUGAAGGUUGAAAUUCAUUAGCAGAAAUUCUGAAAUUUUGACUCCUGUUUGACUUCAUUUAUGAUCAAAAAAGAAAAUAAGAACUUUUUUAUCAGGUCUAUGUUAAAAAUUGAUCUCUUCCCUCAUAAUAUUCCUUUGUUAUGUAAUUCUUGAAGUAAAAACUUCCUCUGGAAAACUUCAAGACUGAUUUAAAUUAAAUGUCUUCCUCUACAGCUGACUAACAAAAUCCACUAGACAUUGAACAGAUUUCUUAAGGACAUGAACUUCAGCUGAAGUUACAUACAGAAAUCUGAGGUAGGAUACAGCUCAGUUCACAGCAUAUGUGGAAUAUUUUCAUAAAUGCACUAGAUAAGCGAUAAAUGAAAAGCAAGGUCAAUACAAAGGUGCAAUAAUAACAGAAAUUGAAAAAAAAAAGGUAGAUUUUUUCUUCACACAGCAUAUUAUUUCUUGCCAUCCACAUCCUCGAAAAUUAGUUUCAAGAAAUUCUUAAAAUUCUAGUUUUAUAAACAACUAUGAUUUCUCUUUUCUUUUCAAAAGCAGCUAUUGUUUCUCUAUAGUCUUAUCCCUUUCUAGUUCAUGUUUUUCUUCUGUUCACAAAGUAGGACCAAAGUAAUGAAAUAAUAAAAGCUUUCCUUUUUGCAUCAUUAAUGUUAUCUUUCUAAGCUGUGAGCCGUGUUUUGUUGCAAAAUAACAGAGUGAGAUGCUUAGCAGCAAUUAAUAGUUACACCCUUGCUUAUUUACAAAAGAACCUGUUAUACUUUUAGUUCACAUUAAGGUAUUCUUUAUAGCAGUAGUGUGACCUUUGUCAAGAAAAAAAAAUGCUGAGUCCUAUACAACUAGUAACUGAUGAGAAAGUGGAAUCUUUCGUUCUGCCAAUUACAGACAGUAAUUGCCAUGUAAUGAAGUUAAUGUUUUGUAGAAUUUACAACCUUAUAUUAAUGGUGUUUCUUUACCACCCUCUCUUAUCCAACUUAAUUUUUGCCCAGCUUUUUCACUACAAAAGAAGCAGGACAAUGUGUGAAGGCUCAUUAAUUCUAUUUAGUUUUGAUUUUUUUUUUCCUCCCUUCUUUUCUCCCCGCCUCCUGGAGGUGAAAAAAGAGCCAUGCCAUCAGGCCUUUAGGUAAACUCUGGUUCAUGUAAGGGUGAAAGUUACAGCCUCCACACAGCAGCUUGCACCAUAUAAAUGCUCCCCUUUCAAUUUCAGCUCAGGCUGUUUAAUGGCCAUGCCGUUUUAUUGCCUUCUUGAUCACCAAUUACACCACCAAGAACAAUGAGCCCAACACUUAAAUGAGGAGGCCUCAAAUUUGCCUUCAUUUGCCAACGUGUUCCAUAGCAACACUUUCUUUGAAAGCACAGAUCGCCUAAUUACGAGGAUGAAGAUGGAUCAGAGUUUGAAAAAGGCUCUCAGCACCAGAACAAUAUGCUAACCUAACUGUACUCCCUGUACUCCUACUGUAUCAUUGUGACCCCGAGCUGCCCUUCUAGCACUCUGCCUGACCUCCUGCCUCCAAGAGGAAGCCGUGCCUGCCCUCCCUAUCUCCAGAGUGUCACUGCAGAAUUUGGGAGGGUGCCGCUGAGGCUGGUGACAAUGGAAUCUAGGAAAAAUAAAUCAUAAGGCAGAAACUAGACAAAUUGAGGAACCACAGGAUACCAAAAGCAUUUCCACGUUAUUUUGUUUUGCCGCUAAUGGCUGAAACGAAUAAAUCAGGAUGUGUUAACUCCAGCGUGCUUCCCAGAGCAAAUGCUAAAUGCUUUACUUUCUUUGUUAGGAACUAAUAGCAGGGCUGAGGUAUUGUGGAUGCUCACUGUUCUACCAGGAAUUUGAAAGGACUGUUAAUACACUAAAAGUAAACACAACUGCAAUAAAUGAUAAAGAUAAAAAACUAAAUGGAAAAAAGUUUUAUACAAGUUCAAAGAUUAGAGUUAUGGAAAUUGCAGAUGUUUUCCUUGUUUAAAAAUAUACCCUAACAAGAAUUUAUUGUUCCAUAUGUCUUUUUACAUAAAUCAGUCACCUAACUAUUUUGCAGGUUGCUUGCUGCAAAAUGACACUGGAAAAAAAUGCUACUACCCCAGAAUUAAACAAUCAGUGUGUUUGCUACACACACUCCAACCAUCUGCCUCCAGUUCUGGUGCUGCCUCGUUCUGAGGGAUGUGCCACCAGAACUAAUCCACUGAGGUAUAAGCUAGAUUACAGAAAUUCAUCACCAUGCAAAUAUUUAUCAAAUUACUUCUGGAACCAUUCAUAAAUAUAAACACAGGUAGAUUCAGGUUUUGUAAAGAUGCAUAAAAUUUAUGACUUUUUUUUUUUGCUGUUUCUUUAGGUUUCUAAAGUUUUCCAACUGAAGUUAGUUCAUAUCUAACCAUGUAACAAUUUAUGUAUGUAAUUGACUUUACAUUCUGUGUGCAGUCCUAGGAAACAUACAGUAGCAGUUAAGGAAUAUUUGAAGAGCUGGAGCCUUUGUUGAAGAGUGAAAAAAUGUGUGGGCUAAUUGUUACAAGAGAAUUACGCAGUAAUAAACACGAUUAAACUUUUGCUGCGGGGAAAGAAUCAAGAUUAAUUUUCAAUUUUAACUUUCACGCUUAUCU